CAAGACAAAGGGUUCCUGCGCAACGCUAAUCGGCGCAGGGUGAGUCGG
rnacentral:rRNA from 1 species